rnacentral:rRNA from 1 species
UACGUAGGGUGCGAGCGUUAAUCGGAAUUACUGGGCGUAAAGCGUGCGCAGGCGGCUUUGCAAGUCAGAUGUGAAAUCCCCGGGCUUAACCUGGGAACUGCAUUUGUGACUGGCGGGCUAGAGUAUGGCAGAGAGGGGUAGAAUUCCACGUGUAGCAGUGAAAUGCGUAGAGAUGUGGAGGAAUACCGAUGGCGAAGGCAGCCCCCUGGGCCAAUACUGACGCUCAUGCACGAAAGCGUGGGGAGCAAACAGG